GAAGGUGUUACCAUUGAAGAGUUGAGAUCUAAGCACCGUAACGAUCCCGAAAAGAUUGUGGAAAUAAUGAAAAGGAAAGGAUUCACAAAAACUUCAUCUCCCACAAAAUUUCAAAAAUCAGUGAAAAGGAAAAAGUCGGAUGAAAAAGGAGAAUGUAGUAAAAUUGCAACUCUCGUUGCAUCAGAUUCUGAAUCUGAACAAGAGAAAG
rnacentral:lncRNA from 1 species